UGGGGAAUAUUGCGCAAUGGGCGAAAGCCUGACGCAGCGACGCCGCGUGAGGGAUGAAGGCCUUCGGGUCGUAAACCUCUGUCAGGGGGGAAGAACGGCACUCGUGCUAAUCAGCGAGUGAUUGACGGUACCCCCAAAGGAAGCACCGGCCAACUCCGUGCCAGCAGCCGCGGUAAUACGGAGGGUGCGAGCGUUAAUCGGAAUCACUGGGCGUAAAGAGUUCGUAGGCCGUUUGGUAAGUUAGGGGUGAAAUCCCGCAGCUCAACUGCGGAACUGCCUUUAAAACUGCUAGACUUGAGUACGAGAGAGGGUGGCAGAAUUCCUGGUGUAGGAGUGAAAUCCGUAGAUAUCAGGAGGAAUACCGGUGGCGAAGGCGGCCACCUGGCUCGUAACUGACGCU
rnacentral:rRNA from 1 species